UCGCGAAAACUUCACAAUGGGGGCAACCCCGAUGAGGGAAUUCCUAGUGCUAGCACAUUUGUGUUAGCUUUUCUUUAGCUUAGAAAACUAGAGGAAUAAGGGCUGGGUAAGACGGGUGCCAGCCGCCGCGGUAAUACCUGCAGCCCAAGUGGUGGUCGAUUUUAUUGAGUCUAAAACGUUCGUAGCCGGUUCGGUAAAUCUUUGGGUAAAUCGGGGGGCUUAACCUUCCGACUUCCGAGGAGACUGCCGAACUUGGGACCGGGAGAGGCUAGAGGUACUUCUGGGGUAGGGGUAAAAUCCUGUAAUCCUAGAAGGACCACCGGUGGCGAAGGCGUCUAGCUAGAACGGAUCCGACGGUGAGGGACGAAGCCCUGGGUCGCAAACGGGAUUAGAUACCCCGGUAGUCCAGGGUGUAAACGCUGCAGACUUGGUGUUGGAGGCCCUUUGGGGGCAUUCAGUGCCGGAGAGAAGUUGUUAAGUCUGCUACUUGGGGAGUACGUCCGCAAGGAUGAAACUUAAGGGAAUUGGCGGGGGAGCACCGCAACGGGAGGAGCGUGCGGUUUAAUUGGAUUCAACACCGUAAAACUCACCAGGGAAGACUGUUACAUGAAGGCCGGGCUAAAGACUCUGCCAGAUUUUCA
rnacentral:rRNA from 1 species